rnacentral:rRNA from 1 species
AGAGUUUGAUCCUGGCUCAGAAUCAACGCUGGCGGCAUGCCUAACACAUGCAAGUCGAGCGAGAAAGUGUAGCAAUACAUGAGUACAGCGGCGCACGGGUGAGUAACACGUGGAUAACCUGCCUCAAAGUGGGGAAUAACACCGGGAAACCGGUGCUAAUACCGCAUAUUCUGACGAGAUCUGCGGAUUUUGUCAGGAAAGGAGCAAUUCGCUAUGAGGGGGGUCCGCGGCUGAUUAGCUAGUUGGUGAGGUAAUGGCUCACCAAGGCUUCGAUCAGUAGCCGGUCUGAGAGGACGGUCGGCCACACUGGAACUGAGACACGGUCCAGACUCCUACGGGAGGCAGCAGUGGGGAAUUUUUCGCAAUGGGGGCAACCCUGACGAAGCAAUGCCGCGUGGAUGAUGAAGUAUCUCGGUACGUAAAAUCCUUUCGACGGGGACGAAACCGCAAGGUGACGGUACCCGAGAAAAGCCCAGAGG